UNGGAGAGGAAAGUGGAAUUCCUAGUGUAGCGGUGAAAUGCGUAGAUAUUAGGAAGAACACCAGUGGCGAAGGCGACUUUCUGGACGAAAACUGACGCUGAGGCGCGAAAGCCAGGGGAGCGAACGGGAUUAGAUACCCCGGUAGUCCUGGCCGUAAACGAUGGGUACUAGGUGUAGGAGGUAUCGACCCCUUCUGUGCCGGAGUUAACGCAAUAAGUACCCCGCCUGGGGAGUACGACCGCAAGGUUGAAACUCAAAGGAAUUGACGGGGGCCCGCACAAGCGGUGGAGUAUGUGGUUUAACUCGACGCAACGCGAAGAACCUUACCAGGUCUUGACAUUGAUGGACAGAACCAGAGAUGGUUCCUCUUCUUCGGAAGCCAGAAAACAGGUGGUGCACGGUUGUCGUCAGCUCGUGUCGUGAGAUGUUGGGUCAAGUCCCGCAACGAGCGCAACCCCUAUCUUAUGUUGCCAGCACGUAAAGGUGGGAACUCAUGAGAGACUGCCGCAGACAAUGCGGAGGAAGGCGGGGAUGACGUCAAAUCAUCAUGCCCCUUAUGACCUGGGCUACACACGUACUACAAUGGGAGUUAAUAGACGGAAGCGAGAUCGCGAGAUGGAGCAAACCCGAGAAACACUCUCUCAGUUCGGAUCGUAGGCUGCAACUCGCCUACGUGAAGUCGGAAUCGCUAGUAAUCGCAGGUCAGCAUACUGCGGUGAAUACGUUCCCGGGCCUUGUACACACCGCCCGUCACACCACGAAAGUCGGAAGUGCCCAAAGCCGGUGGGGUAACCUUCGGG
rnacentral:rRNA from 1 species